rnacentral:rRNA from 1 species
AUUUGAGAGUUUGAUCCUGGCUCAGGACGAACGCUGGCGGCGUGCCUAACACAUGCAAGUCGAACGAGUUACUUAAGCUUGCUUAAGUAAUUAGUGGCGGACGGGUGAGUAACGCGUGGGCAAUCUGCCCUGUGGAAAGGGAUAGCCUCGGGAAACCGGGAUUAAUACCUUAUGAAGUUAUUUUUACGCAUGUAGAGAUAAUGAAAGAUUUAUCGCCACAGGAUGAGCCCGCGUCCCAUUAGCUAGUUGGUGAGAUAAUAGCCCACCAAGGCGACGAUGGGUAGCCGACCUGAGAGGGUGAACGGCCACACUGGGACUGAGACACGGCCCAGACUCCUACGGGAGGCAGCAGUGGGGAAUAUUGCGCAAUGGGGGCAACCCUGACGCAGCAACGCCGCGUGAGUGAAGAAGGUUUUCGGAUUGUAAAACUCUGUCUUUGGGGAAGAAAAAAAUGACGGUACCCAAGGAGGAAGCCCCGGCUAACUACGUGCCAGCAGCCGCGGUAAUACGUAGGGGGCAAGCGUUGUCCGGAAUUAUUGGGCGUAAAGGGCGUGUAGGCGGUAGGAUAAGUCAGAUGUGAAAGUUCGGGGCUCAACCCCGGAAUUGCAUUUGAAACUGUACUACUUGAGUACUGGAGAGGUAAGUGGAAUUCCUAGUGUAGCGGUGAAAUGCGUAGAUAUUAGGAGGAACACCAGUGGCGAAGGCGACUUACUGGACAGUUACUGACGCUGAGGCGCGAAAGCGUGGGGAGCAAACAGGAUUAGAUACCCUGGUAGUCCACGCCGUAAACGAUGAGUGCUAGGUGUUGGGGAGACUCAGUGCCGCAGUUAACACAAUAAGCACUCCGCCUGGGGAGUACGGUCGCAAGACUGAAACUCAAAGGAAUUGACGGGGGCCCGCACAAGCAGCGGAGCAUGUGGUUUAAUUCGAAGCAACGCGAAGAACCUUACCAGGUCUUGACAUCCUUUGACAAUCCAAGAGAUUGGACGUUCCCUUCGGGGACAAAGAGACAGGUGGUGCAUGGUUGUCGUCAGCUCGUGUCGUGAGAUGUUGGGUUAAGUCCCGCAACGAGCGCAACCCUUGUAUUUAGUUGCCAUCAGGUUAAGCUGGGCACUCUAGAUAGACUGCCGUAGACAAUACGGAGGAAGGUGGGGAUGACGUCAAAUCAUCAUGCCCCUUAUGACCUGGGCUACACACGUGCUACAAUGGCCUGAACAACGGGUUGCGAAAUGGCAACAUGGAGCUAAUCCCACAAAUCAGGUCUCAGUUCGGAUUGCAGGCUGCAACUCGCCUGCAUGAAGUUGGAGUUGCUAGUAAUCGCGGAUCAGAAUGUCGCGGUGAAUGCGUUCCCGGGCCUUGUACACACCGCCCGUCACACCACGAAAGUUGGCAACACCCGAAGUCAGUGAGCCAACCAGUUUACUGGGAGCAGCUGCCGAAGGUGGGGUUAAUAAUUGGGGUGAAGUCGUAACAAGGUAGCCGUAUCGGAAGGUGCGGCUGGAUCACCUCCUUUCU